rnacentral:rRNA from 1 species
CGUGAACCUUUACUAUAGCUUGACACUGAACAUUGAGCCUUGAUGUGUAGGAUAGGUGGGAGGCUUUGAAGUGUGGACGCCAGUCUGCAUGGAGCCGACUUGAAAUACCACCCUUUAAUGUUUGAUGUUCUAACGUGGACCCGUAAUCCGGGUUGCGGACAGUGUCUGGUGGGUAGUUUGACUGGGGCGGUCUCCUCCUAAAGAGUAACGGAGGAGCACGAAGGUUGGCUAAUCCUGGUCGGACAU